rnacentral:rRNA from 1 species
AUGAACGCUAGCUACAGGCUUAACACAUGCAAGUCGAGGGGCAGCAUUUUAGUUUGCUUGCAAACUAAAGAUGGCGACCGGCGCACGGGUGAGUAACACGUAUCCAACCUGCCGAUAACUCGGGGAUAGCCUUUCGAAAGAAAGAUUAAUAUCCGAUAGUAUAUUAAAACCGCAUGGUUUUACUAUUAAAGAAUUUCGGUUAUCGAUGGGGAUGCGUUCCAUUAGUUUGUUGGCGGGGUAACGGCCCACCAAGACUACGAUGGAUAGGGGUUCUGAGAGGAAGGUCCCCCACAUUGGAACUGAGACACGGUCCAAACUCCUACGGGAGGCAGCAGUGAGGAAUAUUGGUCAAUGGACGAGAGUCUGAACCAGCCAAGUAGCGUGAAGGAUGACUGCCCUAUGGGUUGUAAACUUCUUUUAUAUGGGAAUAAAGUAUUCCACGUGUGGGAUUUUGUAUGUACCAUAUGAAUAAGGAUCGGCUAACUCCGUGCCAGCAGCCGCGGUAAUACGGAGGAUCCGAGCGUUAUCCGGAUUUAUUGGGUUUAAAGGGAGCGUAGGUGGAUUGUUAAGUCAGUUGUGAAAGUUUGCGGCUCAACCGUAAAAUUGCAGUUGAAACUGGCAGUCUUGAGUACAGUAGAGGUGGGCGGAAUUCGUGGUGUAGCGGUGAAAUGCUUAGAUAUCACGAAGAACUCCGAUUGCGAAGGCAGCUCACUAGACUGCAACUGACACUGAUGCUCGAAAGUGUGGGUAUCAAACAGGAUUAGAUACCCUGGUAGUCCACACAGUAAACGAUGAAUACUCGCUGUUUGCGAUAUACAGUAAGCGGCCAAGCGAAAGCAUUAAGUAUUCCACCUGGGGAGUACGCCGGCAACGGUGAAACUCAAAGGAAUUGACGGGGGCCCGCACAAGCGGAGGAACAUGUGGUUUAAUUCGAUGAUACGCGAGGAACCUUACCCGGGCUUAAAUUGCAUUUGAAUAAUCUGGAAACAGGUUAGCCGCAAGGCAAAUGUGAAGGUGCUGCAUGGUUGUCGUCAGCUCGUGCCGUGAGGUGUCGGCUUAAGUGCCAUAACGAGCGCAACCCUUAUCUUUAGUUACUAACAGGUCAUGCUGAGGACUCUAGAGAGACUGCCGUCGUAAGAUGUGAGGAAGGUGGGGAUGACGUCAAAUCAGCACGGCCCUUACGUCCGGGGCUACACACGUGUUACAAUGGGGGGUACAGAAGGCAGCUACCUGGCGACAGGAUGCUAAUCCCAAAAACCUCUCUCAGUUCGGAUCGAAGUCUGCAACCCGACUUCGUGAAGCUGGAUUCGCUAGUAAUCGCGCAUCAGCCACGGCGCGGUGAAUACGUUCCCGGGCCUUGUACACACCGCCCGUCAAGCCAUGGGAGCCGGGGGUACCUGAAGUACGUAACCGCAAGGAGCGUCCUAGGGUAAAACUGGUGACUGGGGCU